GAGCAGAGCUGAGCCAAGAUCAGAGCCACAGCAGCAGCCAAUUCUAUGUCCUCCAAUUUCCAACUACUUAACAUUUUUACUCUGAUGAAAACAGUCAGAGGAAAAGUGUAAAGUGACAUCUGAGCCUUGUAUUUUUUGUCUACUUAUCAGUGAAGCGGAUAUGUAAUGUUUCUAACCAAUGAACAAAGUAAACACGUAUUUCGAUACCUGAUGAAAAUUCAUAACAUUAAAUAACCUAUUUACUGAUUA